CAUUUCCUCCAUCUUUUCUCAAGUCUCUGCGUCCAAAUGAGCAAGUCGACUUUAUGCUGCGCUGAGAGGCGAUGCUACGCUGCGAGUUCGUGCGCUGAAGAUGGACCGUUGAUUCUAGAGAGCUGUCGUCGGAUGUUUCGGGUUCGUCAUUAACAGGUACCCAGUGAAGAAUGGGGUUGGACUGCAGGAUCACGUAAUCCGUGUCCUGGGCCGCAGCCGAGGUGGACCCUAAAACAGAGGCGAUAUGUGUUUUUAUCUGUUCAAGGUCGAAUUUCGUUGAUCACGUGGUACAGUAUGCUAAUAUUUGGAGAUUAAACAAUAAGAAACGAGAUAAUGUUGAUUGCGUGAGGAUUUGCGAAUGAAAUACGACUGAUCGUCAUUGUUCACACUGCCCUGCACCAGUGUAGUAGAUAUAUAAAAUGAAAUCAUGCUCGGUAAAGCUUAUAGAUCUAGACUGUGAGAAAGAUAAUGUCGCCUUGAAUUUCCAACAAAGUUUUAUUGCCAUUCGCAUUGUAUAAUAUAAUGGUCGGACCGUCUACAGUAAAUCGUACACACAGUACAAAAGAAUACAUAGAUAGAGAUGAAAAUAUACCUAGAUCUCUUCUUUGUUUUUCAUUUCUUUGCUUUGGUAUAUAAAACUCUCCUUCGCGAGGAAGCCUUAUCUUUCUAAGAAUACAAGAUCUAUCAGCGUGACGUCCGGAAAAGGAAACGUAUCUCGGCUACACUCGACAAUAGUAACAAUUAUCACAGUCUGGUUUUACAAAUGGUGUUACAGAGUAACGGGUUUCGGAAGCUACGACGUGUACAACAGCAUUUCUUGGAGUAUAAUACAGCGACAACGGAAGUAAUAUGCAUUAACAUUAGACUUAACACGGUUGAAACGUUGAGCACGUUCCGCAAGCAUUGCCACAACAGUAGUACUAAACUAGCGCACGAUGCUUUUAUUUCACACCUAAGGAUCCAGUCUCGCAUGACGCAUUGGCACAUUUUGGAAUAGCUACAUUUUCUAUAUGACAUCCUCAACAUAUGAUUAUCUCUCUUAAGAAUUUGUACUUAUGUACAAAUUCAACAUUUUUAUUUGUUUUUGUUCAGGUAAACCUAACACAUCAGUAAUACUGUUUAAGCAUUCAAUUAACAGAUGAAUUGACGAAAGUUCCCUGGUGAAUUGCAACUGCUUUUUAGCAGUGGAAUACACCAUCUUCAAGUGCUAUGAUGAUGCCUUAAUGAUGAUAUGUUAUCGAAUUAUAGCUGCCCUCGAUUUGAAUCGUUAAAGGUUUGUACUGUACUCGUAUACGAUGUCACAGUUUUGAUCUUGCUGCGAUGGUUCUUGAACUAUAACCAGAGGCAGUGAAAGUACUACAGAAGAAGGCUCACCUGGGAGUGAGUCUGUUGGUACCACUGCAGGAGAUGGUACAUCUAGAACAUCCUCGCAAGCUUCUUCGUUCAACGUUUGAAGUGCUCCGCAAAUCAUUUGCUCUUCCAAAGUUACCUGAAAGAGAAAUCUUUCAUUGAAAUUACUGUAUUCAAUGUAUACCGAGUUAUUAGUUUAAAUAAUAUUAUAUAUUCCUUUCACUAUGAAGUCAUUAACCAUAUAUUUUGCUUACCUGGUACUAAAACGGUGCACGAUUGUAGCGUGAAUCACACUUUAUGUUAAUAAAUUAUUUAUAAAACACAAAAUUUUGCGAUACCGUUCCUGUUGUAUGUUUUAAAAUAGCUUACUUGUUUCUCCAUGAUGGAUUGCUUGGUCUGGUCUCGCCUAGGAGGACCAUCGGUUCUCGAGUUGCCUUUUUCUUUCUCGCUGUGAGUCGGUACACGCAUUGAUGAGCUUUGUAAAUUAUGAUCUAAAAUGAUAGAAUGAAAUAGUAAAUAAUAAUUUAUAACUCUGUGCACGCCAGUAUUUCGGUCAGAAAUAAAAUGUAUUCCUUCCUA